rnacentral:misc_RNA from 1 species
GAAAUGCGAUAAGUAAUGUGAAUUGCAGAAUUCCGUGAAUCAUCGAAUCUUUGAACGCACAUUGCGCCCCUUGGUAUUCCAUGGGGCAUGCCUGUUCGAGCGUCAUUUGUACCCUCAAGCUCUGCUUGGUGUUGGGUGUUUGUCCCCGUCUCCGCGCGUGGACUCGCCCCAAAGUGAUUGGCAGCCGGCGUACUGGUCCCGGAGCGCAGCACAUGUCGCGCAAACGAGUGCCUUGGUACGGCGGCGUCCAUAAGCCCCUCUCUCACGCUCUUGACCUCGGAUCAGGUAGGGAUACCCGCUGAACUUAAGC